rnacentral:rRNA from 1 species
UACGUAGGGGGCUAGCGUUGUCCGGAAUCAUUGGGCGUAAAGCGCGUGUAGGCGGUCCGGUAAGUCCGCUGUGAAAGUCGGGGGCUCAACCUCGGAUGCCGGUGGAUACUGUCGGGCUUGAGUACGGAAGAGGCGAGUGGAAUUCCUGGUGUAGCGGUGAAAUGCGCAGAUAUCAGGAGGAACACCAAUUGCGAAGGCAGCUCGCUGGGACGUUACUGACGCUGGAGACGCGAAAGC